CAAUAUAGUCACAAUGUUACUUAUCAUUGACGCAAUAGAAAAGUCCCUUAUCUUAACUAGUUGAUUUAACCUAGAGAGCAAUACAUUCGAUAUUCGGUUAUUUGCGUGACGCAGCAAGAAAAACGGAAAGGCCCUAAACCAGAUGGUGGUGUAUUAUCAUCAAACACUUCACAUGCAGUGACAACUUGAUAACAGGACAAAAACGUAAUUAUUUUCUUAAUAAAUCGACCGAACGCGCGAGUUACAUAUUCUUGUAUUUUCAUUGCUGUUACCUAAAGCUUAACUGUUGAUAGAUACUGGAAUAUUUCAUUUCUUAUGCGAGAGUAAUUAUUGACAACGUGGUUCUUAAUUUUGCAUAACAAUGCUCAAUCAGCUCUUCGUUUACACCAAUUUACACAAUUCACAUGAAAGCUUUCUUGCUUAUAAACACAAUCUUACUCCUGUCUGAUGUUUAAUCUCGGUUUAGCAUUUCAUUUAACUGUUUUAAAACAUUAAUAUAGCAUUCUUAGGAUAGAACGAGCAAAGUCAUCCCUCCCACGUUCGCAUUUUUUUGCACAGAAAUGCUCAAUACAUCCUAGGAAUUUUUUAAUGUACAAUUCUCAUGUUAAUCUGACAUAACAACAGCGCGGAAGUGACAUUGUUUGACCAGCUAAUUUUAUUUAUCAAUGUCUACGUGCGGAAUGCCUGUAAAACUGCGCGUUUCCUUACACAUUUUUUCGUUUCACGCAGUGUUUAAAUCGUGUUUCGGCAAUUGCUAUAAUGUCACCUAUAUUAAAUGACAUAACCAUGAAUCAUAGGAGAUCGUGCGCUACGCAUUCAAUCUUAUUAGCUAUGUACGCGUGAGGGAAAACUAACUGGAGCGAUUUUACUGAACUAUGAUUACACCCAGUGGCAACUACAGUGGCAACUACAGUGGCAGUAAGGAAUGUAAUUUAUGCGUUCUAAUGACUUCAUUAGCGAAGGCGACUUCUCUAUAUAGAAUAUUACAUAGACAAAUAUUAAGCUGAUGAUGGUCUUCAUCUUGCUGUAAUGGAACAAUCAUCUCUAUAAAUGCUCAUAAUGCUAUCAAAUCCUGCUUUGUUGCAAGCGAUCGCUCAUUUUAAACAAUAAAUAGCUGGCAUGGUCUUUCCGGAAUAAAUAAAUUUAAAUUUGA